ACUCCUACGGGAGGCAGCAGUGGGGAAUUUUGGACAAUGGGCGCAAGCCUGAUCCAGCCAUGCCGCGUGCGGGAAGAAGGCCUUCGGGUUGUAAACCGCUUUUGUCAGGGAAGAAAAGGUUCUGGCUAAUACCUGGGACUCAUGACGGUACCUGAAGAAUAAGCACCGGCUAACUACGUGCCAGCAGCCGCGGUAAUACGUAGGGUGCAAGCGUUAAUCGGAAUUACUGGGCGUAAAGCGUGCGCAGGCGGUUAUGCAAGACAGAGGUGAAAUCCCCGGGCUCAACCUGGGAACUGCCUUUGUGACUGCAUGGCUAGAGUACGGUAGAGGGGGAUGGAAUUCCGCGUGUAGCAGUGAAAUGCGUAGAUAUGCGGAGGAACACCGAUGGCGAAGGCAAUCCCCUGGACCUGUACUGACGCUCAUGCACGAAAGCGUGGGGAGCAAACAGGAUUAGAUACCCGGGUAGUCCCAUGA
rnacentral:rRNA from 1 species